rnacentral:rRNA from 1 species
CGCCUGUUUAUCAAAAACAUCGCCUCUUGCCACUAUAAGAGGUCCAGCCUGCCCAGUGACCAGUUUAACGGCCGCGGUACCCUAACCGUGCGAAGGUAGCAUAAUCACUUGUUUCUUAAAUAGAGACUAGUAUCAAGGCAUCAGAAGACUACCUGUCUCCUCCCUAAAAUCAAUGAAACUGAUCUCCUCGUGAAGAAGCGAGGAUAUACAUAUAAGACGAGAAGACCCCAUGGAGCUUUAAACGAACUUCAAUUGUUCCUACCCAUAACAUACAAAUUGAACACUCCCUGGUAGACAGUUUUAGGUUGGGGUGACCGCGGAGUAAAACAAAACCUCCACAAUGAAUGUAAUAAAAUUCUUAUAAAAGAACUACAAUUCUAAUAAUCAAAAAUUUGACAUAAGUUGACCCAAACACUUGAUCAAUGAACCAAGUUACCCUGGGGAUAACAGCGCAAUCCAUUUUAAGAGCCCAUAUCGACAAAUGGGUUUACGACCUCGAUGUUGGAUCAGGGUAUCCCAGUGGUGCAGCCGCUACUAAAGGUUCGUUUGUUCAACGAUUAAAACCCUACGUGAUCUGAGUUCAGACCGGA